CCUACAUGAAGCUGGAGUUACUAGUAAUCGCAGAUCAGAAUGCUGCGGUGAAUGCGUUCCCGGGUCUUGUACACACCGCCCGUCACACCACGGAAGUUGGGGGCGCCCGAAGCCACUUAGCUAACCCAUUUGGGAAGCGAGUGUCGAAGGUGAAAUCAAUAACUGGGGUGAAGUCGUAACAAGGUACC
rnacentral:rRNA from 1 species